ACUUUUGCAUGGUGGCAGUGUAGUAGCUAAUGGUGUUUAUCAGAAGCACUAUUACUGCUAAUUGAAAAUUACCGU
rnacentral:snRNA from 1 species